CCGGGAUUACCUUAGUAACGGCGAGUGAAGCGGUAAAAGCUCAAAUUUGAAAUCUAGUACCUUCGGUGCUCGAGUUGUAAUUUGUAGAGGGAUACUUUGGGGCCGUUCCUUGUCUAUGUUCCUUGGAACAGGACGUCAUAGAGGGUGAGAAUCCCGUGUGGCGAGGAGUGCGGUUCUAUGUAAAGUGCCUUCGAAGAGUCGAGUUGUUUGGGAAUGCAGCUCUAAGUGGGUGGUAAAUUCCAUCUAAAGCUAAAUAUUGGCGAGAGACCGAUAGCGAACAAGUACAGUGAUGGAAAGAUGAAAAGAACUUUGAAAAGAGAGUGAAAAAGUACGUGAAAUUGUUGAAAGGGAAGGGCAUUUGAUCAGACAUGGUGUUUUGUGCCCUCCGCUCCUUGUGGGUGGGGGAAUCUCGCAGCUCACUGGGCCAGCAUCAGUUUUGGCGGCAGGAUAAAUCUGUAGGAAUGUAGCUUGCUUCGGGAAGUGUUAUAGCCUGCGGGAAUACUGCCAGCCGGGACUGAGGAAUGCGACUUUUAGUCAAGGAUGCUGGCAUAAUGGUUAAAUGCCGC
rnacentral:rRNA from 1 species